rnacentral:rRNA from 1 species
GACGAACGCUGGCGGCGUGCUUAACACAUGCAAGUCGAACGGAAAGGCCCUGCUUUUGUGGGGUGCUCGAGUGGCGAACGGGUGAAUAACACGUGAGUAACCUGCCCUUGACUUUGGGAUAACUUCAGGAAACUGGGGCUAAUACCGGAUAGGAGCUCCUGCUGCAUGGUGGGGGUUGGAAAGUUUCGGCGGUUGGGGAUGGACUCGCGGCUUAUCAGCUUGUUGGUGGGGUAGUGGCUUACCAAGGCUUUGACGGGUAGCCGGCCUGAGAGGGUGACCGGCCAAAUUGGGACUGAGAUACGGCCCAGACUCCUACGGGAGGCAGCAGUGGGGAAUAUUGCACAAUGGGCGGAAGCCUGAUGCAGCAACGCCGCGUGCGGGAUGACGGCCUUCGGGUUGUAAACCGCUUUCGCCUGUGACGAAGCGUGAGUGACGGUAAUGGGUAAAGAAGCACCGGCUAACUACGUG